GAUGAACGCUGGCGGCGUGCCUAAUACAUGCAAGUCGAGCGAACAGACGAGGAGCUUGCUCCUCUUACGUUAGCGGCGGACGGGUGAGUAACACGUGGAUAACCUACUUAUAAGACUGGGAUAACUUCGGGAAACCGGAGCUAAUACCGGAUAAUAUAUUGAACCGCAUGGUUCAAUAGUGAAAGACGGUUUUGCUGUCACUUAUAGAUGGAUCCCCGCCGCAUUAGCUAGUUGGUAAGGUAACGGCUUACCAAGGCAACGAUGCGUAGCCGACCUGAGAGGGUGAUCGGCCACACUGGAACUGAGACACGGUCCAGACUCCUACGGGAGGCAGCAGUAGGGAAUCUUCCGCAAUGGGCGAAAGCCUGACGGAGCAACGCCGCGUGAGUGAUGAAGGUCUUCGGAUCGUAAAACUCUGUUAUUAGGGAAGAACAAAUGUGUAAGUAACUAUGCACGUCUUGACGGUACCUAAUCAGAAAGCCACGGCUAACUACGUG
rnacentral:rRNA from 1 species